rnacentral:rRNA from 1 species
UACGGGGGGGGCAAGCGUUGUUCGGAAUUACUGGGCGUAAAGGGCGCGUAGGCGGCCUGUUAAGUCGGGUGUGAAAACUCUGGGCUCAACCCAGAGCCUGCAUUCGAUACUGACGGGCUAGAGUACUGGAGGGGAAAGCGGAAUUCCUGGUGUAGCGGUGAAAUGCGUAGAUAUCAGGAGGAACACCGGUGGCGAAGGCGGCUUUCUGGACAGUAACUGACGCUGAGGCGCGAAAGCUAGGGGAGCAAACAGG